CCUACGGGAGGCAGCAGUGGGGAAUAUUGGGCAAUGGGCGCAAGCCUGACCCAGCAACGCCGCGUGAAGGAAGAAGGCUCUAGGGUUGUAAAACUCUUUUUUUAGGGAAGUAGAAUGUGACGGUACCUGCCGAAUAAGCCACGGCUAACUACGUGCCAGCAGCCGCGGUAAUACGUAGGGGGCAAGCGUUAUCCGGAUUUACUGGGUGUAAAGGGCGUGUAGGCGGGACUGCAAGUCAGAUGUGAAAACCACGGGCUCAACCUGUGGACUGCAUUUGAGACUGUAGUUCUUGAGUACAGGAGAGGCAGGCGGAAUUCCUAGUGUAGCGGUGAAAUGCGUAGAUAUUAGGAGGAACACCGGUGGCGAAGGCGGUCUGCUGGACAGCAACUGACGCUGAGGCGCGAAAGCGUGGGGAGCAAACAGGAGUAGAUACCCGUGUAGUC
rnacentral:rRNA from 1 species